rnacentral:rRNA from 1 species
CAGCCGCCACGGUAAUACGGAGGGGGCUAGCGUUGUUCGGAUUUACUGGGCGUAAAGCGCACGUAGGCGGAUCUUUAAGUCAGGGGUGAAAUCCCGAGGCUCAACCUCGGAACUGCCUUUGAUACUGGAGAUCUCGAGUCCGGGAGAGGUGAGUGGAACUGCGAGUGUAGAGGUGAAAUUCGUAGAUAUUCGCAAGAACACCAGUGGCGAAGGCGGCUCACUGGCCCGGAACUGACGCUGAGGUGCGAAAGCGUGGGGAGCAAACAGGAUUAGAUACCCCCGUAGUCCCUGUCUCUUAUAC